rnacentral:ncRNA from 1 species
ACAAAUUUUAGUGUUAAUUUUAAAUUAUUUAAAUAAUAAUUUAUAUUUAAGAGUAGUAAUUAAUAUUAAAUUAUUUAAGAAAUUAAGAUUUAGUAAUAUUUUAAUUAAUAACAAAUUUUGUGCCAGCAGUUGCGGUUAUACAAAAAUUAAUUUAAAUUUUAUUAGUAAUUAUUAAGUAAAUUAUAAAAAAUAAUAAAAAUAUAAAAUUAUUAAGUGAAAUUUUAAUUUAAUAAAAAAUUAUAAUUUAAUUAUGAUUUAAUAAAUUUUACAAAAAACUAGGAUUAGAUACCCUAUUAUUAAAAAUUAAAUUUAUAAUACUAAAAUAGUAAAUAAUUAUUUAUUUAAACUUAAAUAAUUUGGCGGUAUUUUAGUUCAUUUAGAGGAAUCUGUUUAAUAAUUGAUAAUCCACGAAUAAAUUUACUUAAUUUUUAAUUUUGUAUAUCGUUGUUAAAAAAAUAUUUUUUAAUAAAAUUAAUAUUUAAUAAUUAUAAUAAAAAUUUAAAUCAGAUCAAGAUGCAGAUUAUAAUUAAGAAUAUAAUGGAUUACAAUAAAUUUAUUUAAAUAAAUAUUAAUUUGUAAAAAUUAAUUGAAAGUGGAUUUAAAUGUAAUUUUAUUUAAUUUAUUAAAAUGAUUAAAAAUUAAAAUAUGUACAUAUUGCCCGUCGCUUUCAUAUAUUAAUAAGUUGAAAUAAGUCGUAACAAAGUAGAGGUACUGGAAAGUGUUUCUAGAAAGAA